rnacentral:lncRNA from 1 species
AUCUUUUUUCAUAUUGUUAUUAUUUUCUUUGAUGGUCACGUGCUGAUGUUCUAUUUUUUAUUUUUUUUCUUUUGAUUUUGUUUUUUCUUUUAAUUUUUAAUUAUGUUUUCUUUUAUUCAUGUUUUAUUUCUUAAUCUUUCUUUGUUAUUAAUCUUUUUUUUUAUCAUAUGCGAUGUUCUAUAAUACAUUAAGUGUUGUUUUAUGGUUAAUUCAGCGAUGUUCACUUAGUAUACAUACAAUGUUCUAUAAUGUAUUGAGUGAUGUUCUAUUGUGAAUUUAGUGAUGUUCGCUUAGUACACAUGUGGUGUUGUAUGAUAUAUCUAGUGAUGUUCACGUAAUAUAUAUACGAUGUUCCAUAAUGUAUUUAAUAGUGUUCUAUAGUGUAUUUAGUGAUGUUCAGUUUAGUACACAUGUGAUGUUUUAUAGUUUAUUUUUAGGAUAUUUUAAAACUAUCCAUAUGAUGUUCUUUUAAAUUUUUCUCUAUUACGUAUUUUUUUUCUUAUGCUUUGCUCUAGAUUUUAUUUUUUUGUUUACAUGAUGUAUUUAUUUAUUUUAAAUAUUAUAAUAUCAGUUUCAUGAAUCUAAACUAGAACACUAUUUUUUAAAGUGAGAACAUUUUUCUUACAAAGAUGGAACAUUUAUUUUCUGAACCUAGAACAUUGUCUAUCAUAAAUAAAAAUGUUAUAUCUUUAUAAGAUAAAUGUUUAUUAAUAAAAUUUUAUCUAAAUAUAUCCAUGUGAGAUGUUGUUUUGAAGGAUUUAUUAUAAGAAACACUAUAGUGUAAUCAGAUUUUAAUUUAGAUAUUUAGUUUAGGAGCUAUGACUUUUUAAAUUUUGUUGAUGAAAGUGGAGAAUAUAAUGAUGAGGUGGGCCCUGUAGGAUGGACAGCCUCUCUGCCAACCGCUAGCUAUGAGACUCUGAUCCUAUAGAAUAGACAGACUUUAUUCUAGUUUGUGCAUGCAUGUCUUAUCUAAAGAUGGCAAUGGGUACCCGACACACGAAACCUGAUGAGUUUUUCUCUAUUAGGGUAAGGAUAUGGGUCAACUUCGCUACCCGUGGGUUUGUUAAUGGGGCAAAAGCUAGACCCAGCGGGUUUAUGGGUAUGGGUCUAGGUGUGUAGUACCCAAACCCGCAAACCCAUGGGUUUUUUAAAACCGGUUCACCAUAUCAUCACACAAUAUAAUUAGUACAUAAAGUACAAAAUGCAAGAAAAUAAACGAAAUAGAGAACAUGCAUGCUCCAUACUUUUUCUAGUAGAAGAAAGUUGCAAAUCUCAUCGUUUCUUUUCUUUUAUUUCUUUCCUUUUUUUCUUUCUUUUUUCAUUUUAUAUUCCAUUUGAUUCUUUUUCUAUCUUUUUUGUACUUUAUUUUUAUUUCCAUGUUUUGUUUUAUAUUCCAUUUGAUUCUUUUUCUAUCUUUUUUGUGCUUUAUUUUUAUUUUCAUUUUUUGUUUUAUAUUAUCCUGUGUUCUGUAUAUUUUAUCUUUUUUCUUAUUGUUAUUAUUUUCUUUGAUGUUCACGUGUUGAUGUUCUAUUUUUUAUUUUUUCUUUUGAUUUUGUUUUUUCUUUUAAUUUUUAAUUAUGUUUUCUUUUAUUCAUGUUUUAUUUCUUAAUCUUUCUUUGUUAUUAAUCUUUUUUUGCAUCAUAUUACAUUAAGUGUUGUUUUAUGGUUAAUUCAGCGAUGUUCACUUAGUAUACAUACAAUGUUCUAUAAUGUAUUGAGUGAUGUUCUAUUGUGAAUUUUAGUGAUGUUCGCUUAGUACACAUGUGGUGUUGUAUGAUAUAUCUAGUGAUGUUUACGUAAUAUAUAUACGAUGUUCCAUAAUGUAUUUAAUAGUGUUCUAUAGUGUAUUUAGUGAUGUUCAGUUUAGUACACAUGUGUUGUUUUAUAGUUUAUUUUUAGGAUGUUUUAAAACUAUCCAUAUGAUGUUCUUUUAAAUUUUUCUCUAUUACGUAUUUUUUUUCUUAUGCUUUGCUCUAGAUUUUAUUUUUUUGUUUACAUGAUGUAUUUAUUUAUUUAUUUAUUUUAAAUAUUAUAAUAUCAGUUUUAUGAAUCUAAAAUAGAACACUAUUUUUUAAAGUGAGAACAUUUUUCUUACGAAGAUGGAACAUUUAUUUUGUGAACCUAGAACAUUGUCUAUCAUAAAUAAAAAUGUUAUAUCAUUAUAAGAUAAAUGUUUAUUAAUAAAAUUUUAUUUAAAUAUAUCCAUGUGAGAUGUUGUUUUGAAGGAUUUAUUAUAAGAAACACUAUAGUGUAAUCGGAUUUUGAUUUAGAUAUUUAGUUUAGGAGCUAUGACUUUUUAAAUUUUGUUGAUGAAAGUAGAGAAUAUAUGGAUGAGGUGGGCCCUGUAGGAUGGACAGCCUCUCUGCCAACCGCUAGCUAUGAGACUCUGAUCCUAUAGAAUAGACAGACUUUAUUCUAGUUUGUGCAUGCAUGUCUUAUCUAAAGAUGGCAAUGGGUACCCGACACCCGAAACAUGAUGAGUUUUUGCUCUAUUAGGGUAAGGAUAUGGGUUGUCACACCUAAUUUCAAGGAAGAAAUUGAAUGCAUAAACUUAUGUGCGCCCAGAGAUCAAUCACACACACAAGUCACAAAUUAAAUACCAUCAUCGCAGUGUUUACAACAAACGUAGUUAUUACAUCACAAAGUCUGGCACGACAGCGAAAAUAUAAAUAUGAUAAUCUAAGAUAACUAUCUCAUGGCCUUCACACAGGGAAGGUCGACUGGUGAAGCACAAGCCUAAUAGUCCUCCGGGUAGUCCUCAUAGCUACCACCAUCUGUUACCCAUCCAGGAUUUUUAUCCAAAAAAAAAUAUACAAGCAUGAGUACAUCUCGUACUCCACAAGCAUAGCAUGAGGAUUUAUGAGGCUCAAACAAGCUAGACUAGGUUUACUGCAUCAGCUUUUUAGUAGGUCAGUGUUUUAUCAUUAAUUAUUUUAGUUUAUGCUUAAGCUCCCAAAUAUCCCAUAUGAUCAGUUAUUAGAACCAUAGUAAGUCAAUAAGUCACAUUAAAGCAUAAUUAUACAUCAUCAUGUACCAUAUAGCCAUCAGUAACCAGUUAUUCUGUGAGUUUUCCGAGCCGCUCGUGACCGUGAGCACGACUGUUAUAACAGUUAUACACUCUGCAGAGGUUGUGCACUUUCACCGUGAGUCGUGUUGCCCAUAUGCCCAGGAUCCGUCGACCCUCAAACACUACCAAGGUGAGCGGGUAGGGUACACUAUGAAGCCUUCCAUAGGCCUAUUCUAACCAGUUAGGGCCGCGAGGUUUCCUCGGCAGGCAGAUGUAGAAAACCCCCCUUUUCUAUGGCACAUUUCCAUCGCGGCUAUACUUAUAGAAACAGGGGCAGCACUACACCCAAAGUGGCAAGCCCCUCUUGCGCCCUUUCGGGUAACCUCUAACGAGUUAGAAAAGAUCCUAUUACUGAGCUAAAGUCAGAGCCAUGUGACUCUGCCGGUUGCACUGUAAGUCCCAGCUUUUGCCGACAGAUAAGUCCUUACGGAGGGUCUAGGACAACAUGACCAACGGUCAUUUGUACCAUAGCCCUAUGUUCCAUUUAUCAUAAUCAUAUUUAAUCAAUUAACCAUGGUUCCAUCACUGAUUUCAGAUCAUAUAUAAUUGGAGUUAGAGCACUAGCACUUCUACCCAUAUGCAAUAAAAACCCUUGGGAACAAGGUAAUUGUCAUCAACACCUAGGAUGUCCUUAUAGUUUGCAAUAUUGUACACAUGCAGGGUGAAAUGCUUAAAAUGAGUAGGACAACAAGGUAGGCCCAUGCUAUACUUGCCUUGAUUCACGUACUCCUACUGGUCUUGCUGGUCCUGCUGAUCCCCAAAGAGCUCCGGACUCCCGAAAUACUCCUCACCGUCUGGGCUCGAUCAAUACAUCACAAUCAUCACGCAUACCAAAACAAACAUGCAAGAGAACAAUUCCUAAAGUUAGAACAGUACACCAGCAGUAAAUAAAUUAAAUAAAAGUUUUCCAAAAUCAUCUACGUGCUGCUACGAUCACGUCAAUGCGAAAUUCACGAAAAACGAACUUACGACGCGAAAGUUACGCUUUUAACGGGAUUUCAACAGCAAUCUACGGACUUGUAAUUAACUAGGAAAUCUAACAGUGGUAAACCUAAACAACAGUGGUACCAACGCUAAGCUUACAAAAUUACGAAACUAACGCAACUUGAACGGAUUGAUUCGGAGUUCAAACGACGAUUUUAUAGCUAAAACAAUGCGGUGGCAAUUUUGUAAAUAAAGCAGAGUCUAAACGAAUUUAAAUAAAUAAAUUAAAUCCUGGAAAUUCCUCUGGUCGAGGACUGCGCGCGCGAAAAUGGAAUUCCUAGGGGGCUCUUUAACAAAAUAUCAUAUGAAGGGGUAUCAAGUGUUUCUGGCCGUUGGAUCAAGUUUGAACGCACCAGAUUAAAAAAAAAUAAAAAGAGAGAGAGGAAGGGGACGACGCACAGUCCACCUCUGGCCAGAACACGGUGGCCACCAUGGCCGGCCCUUGAAGCUCGCCGGAGUUGAGCGGAGGAGGUGCUACGGUGCACGGUUUUCGAUUCCGAUUGAACUGGGAGAAAGAGGAGAGGGAUGCGAGUCCAUUCCACCCCAUAAACGCGGUCGAGGAGGCGGUUUCCGAGAAGGUUCACGGCGGCGCUAUGAACGUCCCUGCUGAGCUCGCGAAACAAGGACUCCGGGCCACAAUUCACUCGGCAACAGGACGGGGAGGGAGCGGGAAGGGAGAUGAAGCUCACCACGGCGCCAAAUCACAGCGAAAACGGCUCGGAACGGCGGCCUACGCGCGGCCGACGAAGAACUUCCGGCGGCGGUUUUCUCUGCGCUUUCACGGAUGGGAGCAGAAGCGAGGAGGGGGGAAAAUGGGGAGAGGAAGACUCGGGCACGCGGACUCCCUCCACUUGAAGCCGAGACGCGGGGGGGGGGGGGGCGGAGAACGUGGGCGCGGGGAGAGCGGCUUCGGCGGUUUCCAAGCGGGAGAGAGACUCGGGGCGGAGCAGUUGGAGGAAGGAGGUGGUCCUGACGGGUGGGCCUCACCCGUCAGCCGCCAGAGAGAAAAGCUUUUCUUUUUUAUUUUCCAAACAAAUUUUCCAAACUCUUUUCCAAAUGAAUUUUUGAAUUCAAAAUUCUUUUCAUCAAAACCACUCAUCACAUAAAAGAAAUGCACGGAUGCAACAAAAUAUUAGCCUAACUUAUAUUUAAUUUUAUUUUCUCCAAAUUUAUUUAUUUUCCUAUAUUGAAAAUGCUCACAAAAUUAUUUAAUAAAGCCAAAUUCAUCUAUUUUUAAAAUAGCCAAAUUUUGGGUGUUACAUGGGUCAACUUCGCUACCCGUGGGUUUGUUAAUGGGGCAAAAGCUAUACCGUUUAUGGGCAUGGGUCUGGGCGUGUAGUACCCAAACCCGCAAACCCAUGGGUUUUUUAAACCCGGUUCACCAUAUCAUCACACAAUAUAAUUAGUACAUAAAGUACAAAAUGCAAGAAAAAUAAACGAAAUAGAGAACAUGCAUGCUCCAUACUUUUUUUUAGUAGUAGAAGCUCCUUAUGUGAAAGUUGCAAAUCUCAUCGUUUCUUUUUUUUUAAUUUCUUUCCAUUUUUCUUUCUUUUUUUCAUUUUAUAUUCCAUUUGAUUCUUUUUCUAUCUGUUUUGUGUUUUAUUUUUAUUUGCAUUUUUUGUUUUAUAUUAUCCUUUGUUCUGUAUAUUUUAUCUUUUUUGUUAUUGUUAUUAUUUUCAUUUUUUGUUUUAUAUUAUCCUUUGUUUUGUAUAUUUUAUCUUUUUUCUUAUUGUUAUUAUUUUCUUUGAUGUUCACGUGCUGAUGUUCUAUUNNNNNNNNNNNNNNNNNNNNNNNNNNNNNNNNNNNNNNNNNNNNNNNNNNNNNNNNNNNNNNNNNNNNNNNNNNNNNNNNNNNNNNNNNNNNNNNNNNNNNNNNNNNNNNNNNNNNNNNNNNNNNNNNNNNNNNNNNNNNNNNNNNNNNNNNNNNNNNNNNNNNNNNNNNNNNNNNNNNNNNNNNNNNNNNNNNNNNNNNNNNNNNNNNNNNNNNNNNNNNNNNNNNNNNNNNNNNNNNNNNNNNNNNNNNNNNNNNNNNNNNNNNNNNNNNNNNNNNNNNNNNNNNNNNAACGUACUUUAUAUCAAUUUUGUUUUUUCUUUCAAUUUUUAAUUAUGUUUUCUUUGAUUCAUGUUUUAUUUCUUAAUCUUUCUUUGUUAUUAAUCUUUUUUUUUGCAUCAUAUGCGAUGUACUAUAAUACAUUAAGUUUUGUUUUAUGGUUAAUUCAGCGAUGUUCACUUAGUAUACAUACAAUGUUCUAUAAUGUAUUGAGUGAUGUUCUAUUGUGAAUUUAGUGAUGUUCGUUUAGUACACAUGUGGUGUUGUAUGAUAUAUCUAGUGAUGUUCACGUAAUAUAUAUACGAUGUUCCAUAAUGUAUUUAAUAGUGUUCUAUAGUGUAUUUAGUGAUGUUCAGUUUAGUACACAUGUGAUGUUUUAUAGUUUAUUUUUAGGAUGUUUUAAAACUAUCCAUAUGAUGUUCUUUUAAAUUUUUCUCUAUUACGUAUUUUAUUUCUUAUGCUUUGCUCUAGAUUUUAUUUUUUUGUUUACAUGAUAUAUUUAUUUAUUUAUUUAUUUAUUUUAAAUAUUAUAAUAUCAGUUUCAUGAAUCUAAACUAGAACACUAUUUUUUAAAGUGAGAACAUUUUUCUUACAAAGAUGGAACAUUUAUUUUCUGAACCUAGAACAUUGUCUAUCAUAAAUAAAAAUGUUAUAUCUUUAUAAGAUAAAUGUUUAUUAAUAAAUUUUUAUCUAAAUAUAUCCAUGUGAGAUGUUGUUUUGAAGGAUUUAUUAUAAGAAACACUAUAGUGUAAUCAGAUUUUAAUUUAGAUAUUUAGUUUAGGAGCUAUGACUUUUUAAAUUUUGUUGAUGAAAGUGGAGAAUAUAUGGAUGAGGUGGGCCCUGUUGGAUGGACAGCCUCUCUGCCAACCGCUAGCUAUGAGACUCUGAUCCUAUAGAAUAGACAGACUUUAUUCUAGUUUGUGCAUGCAUGUCUUACUCUUAUCUAUGCUAAUUAUUUUUACAUCUAUGCUAAUUAAUUUUCGGAACCAAGCAUGUGCAAUGUUGUUCAUGGGCCAUGGCAACACAACAUGAUGUUCUUUAAUUUUUUUCUAUUACAUGUUUCUUAUUUUUUCCUUAUGAUCUGCUGAAGAUUUUUCAUUAUUAUUUGGUUUAUGUUAUGUACUUAUUUAUAUAUAUAUAUAUUAUAAUACUAAUUUUCUAAUCCUAAAAACUAGAAUACUAUUCUUAGAAAAGUAGAACAUUAUUUUACGAAGGCAGAACAUUGUUUCUUAGACCUAGAACAUAUAUUGUCUCUGCUCAGUAAAACAAAAGUUCUAUCUUUGUGAAAUUAAUGUUCAUAAUUAAAAUUUAUCUAAAUAUAUUUAUGAGGUCUUGUUUUGAAGCACGUACUAUAAGAAACAUAAUUGUGCAAUCAGAAUUUGAUUUAGAUACUCGAUUUAGUAGUUAUUAGUUUUUAAAUUUGUUUGGCACGUAAAAAAAAUCUGGUUCCGCAGGCGCCCAAAAGCUGCUCCCUGUCCUCCCACUUUGGAGCGCGCGCUAUAUGUGAUGUGUGCUUCCGAUCCUCUCAACUAUUGUAUGGGCAUAAACUUUUGGGCGGGAAACAGGUGCCGGACAGUGGCUUCGGUCCGAACGGCCGGACUGUAGCAGGCCCCAGAAAAUACUGCUAAACAAGAGAUACAUGUGUUCUGAAAUUGGCAAGAAUAAAUUUAACAAUUUAUUAGAGAUGUGAGAAUUGAGAUUUUGCUUGUCUUGUGUAUCUGUGUGUACAUUUGAAGUGCUUCUUUUCAAGUAUGAGUGUUGGCUCGGGCUUCUCAUCCCACUUAACCAUGAAAGCCAAAUUGGUGCGGCUGUAGAAUAUGAAGAAAUGGAUGUCUAGUGGUAUGUGUCUCAUCGUAGUUGUGUAUUUUUUUUGAUGUAUUAUCACAUAUAAUCAUAUAUUAACUGAUUUGUUCUUCAAAUUUACAGGUUUGUUAGCUCUUGAAUAGUUGCAUCUUGGACUCUUGUUCAGUGGGUAUAUGCUGAAUUAAUGAAUUGUAUUAAGGUGCUAUUGGCUGCUAGUCUGCUACCUUCUAAUGUGAGGUACCAUCUUCAAUCAAUCUUUAAAUUUGCCAUAUAUGACCUAUUUAUGUGUUUGUACAUUAUUGCUAAAAACAUGGUAUGCGAAUAUGAUGUAUCUUCUUUUAUACUAUUAGUUAUGUGUCCGUAGUCCACCCCACCUAAAAUUCUGGUCAAGCUCUACCACUGGACAUUAUAGUGGGUUGCCAGCUUGCUUUGUAUAGGCAAUGGAUUUUUGUGUGGGAAAAUUAUCUAACGUUUGCCCCUAAAGACAGUUUAUUCUAAAACAUCAUUGUUUUAUCUUUAACCUUGCUAAAAGGAUAGAGAUGCACAAUUUCGCUUGUCACUUGGUGCUUACCACCAUUCUCAAUAAAUGGUGUGUACACCUUACUGUCACUCUCUCUAUUUUCAAAUAUAAGUGCAAUUGAAAUGUGUGUUUUAUUUAGACUUUUGGUAAGACACUGAUUUUGUAAUAAUUGAUAGUAUAUUGUAAAGAAAAUUAAUUAUACACCAAAAGACUCCAUUCUAACACCCCUUAUAAAAGGAAAUGGAAUGAAACAGUGAAGUACCUCCAUUCUCAAUAAAAUUUAAGUUAAAAUGUGUUUGGUAGAACACUAAA